rnacentral:rRNA from 1 species
UAGGAGUAGGGGAAUAUUGCACAAUGGGGGAAACCCUGAUGCAGCCAUGCCGCGUGUGUGAAGAAGGCCUUCGGGUUGUAAAGCACUUUCAGUAGGGAGGAAGGUAGUGUAGUUAACACCUGCAUUAUUUGACGUUACCUACAGAAGAAGCACCGGCUAACUCCGUGCCAGCAGCCGCGGUAAUACGGAGGGUGCGAGCGUUAAUCGGAAUUACUGGGCGUAAAGCGCAUGCAGGCGGCCUGUUAAGUCAGAUGUGAAAGCCCCGGGGCUUAACCUCGGAAUUGCAUUUGAAACUGGCAGGCUAGAGUCUUGUAGAGGGGGUAGAAUUCAGGUGUAGCGGUGAAAUGCGUAGAGAUCUGAAGGAAUACCAGUGGCGAAGGCGGCCCCCUGGACAAAGACUGACGCUCAGAUGCGAAAGCGUGGGGAGCAAACAGGAUUAGAUACCCUGGUAG